UCCCCAGGGACUCAAAAGCCUGCUUGGGCGGCGGCCGUGAGGGCCCUGAGCCCGGGGUGAACCCGAAUCGCAUCACACUCCCACCCGCACCCUCGGCGCACUGAGAAAAGACACCGUCCGAAGGAAGCACCGGUGCCCACCUGGACCUGUGGGUGCCGUGCUGCCAGGGCUGCCCGCUGCACGGCCUCCACCCUCGAGCCGCGUGGAAGGUGCUGUAAACUCUCACCUGGAUUCCUUAGCCCUUGUGAAGGUAUUUCCAUGUGUGGAUGGUUGUUCAAAUUGAUGUUUUUUGAGGGACAAGGGCUGGAAACGAUUUUGCCAUCUCGCUGAUAUCACUCCUAAGUGAUAUAAAAAGCAGUCACAGACAAGCCUGUCUUCACCAACCUGGGAAAUGGAGAGACUGGAGGACCUCUGCACUUAGCCCCACGGUGGCAGGAAUCCCAGCGAACACCAUCCCCAAAAAAAGUGCCGUCCAGGAAGGAGUUGUGGGAGACAGCCCUUCGAGGAGGCUGCUUUCGUUUGAUCUGCACCUUCUAAUACCUCUGAAGCACUUUGCCAUUUUCUGCCUGGGUCUGUUCAGGGCUGUGUCCAGCCCACGGCGGCUCCUCUCGCUCUGGGCUUUGGCCCCGAGGAAGCGGUAGGAACGGUCGCGGCAACAAAGGCCCUUCCUGACCAGCGGCGUCUCGUGAUGCCUUUGGGUUGCUGCCCGCGGAGGAUGCUGCUGCCCGCGGCUGCGGCUCUGAACCGACCGGCAUGGAGUCCGGCGACAUAAACGUGGACUCUACAGACUGCGACGUCACGGGACGCUGGUGAGGAUGUUUGCAAGGCAAAAAUAUUUGAAGUUUCAGCAAAGAGAACGCGCCGUGCUUCCUCUAAACCGAACACCACAGCUCCUGUAACUGAUGCUUUCACUCCUUGCGUAAGCUGCUGGGGAGCUCACAGCCAAAACUGUGUCCUGCUUCCCUGCACCCGAAGCAGGACAUUUAGUGUGCCCUGCUGGGAGGUCAUCUAACCUUUAUUUUCCCGUUCACGUUCCUCUUCAGUCCCUCAAAGGGUUUGAUGCCUCUUAUUCCAAAUAAAACCGGUUGGUAUGAGGUUCACAGGAUCGUUUCUCGACAGUCAGCAACCUGGACAACGAGUGCCCCAGCGUCUGUCCUUCCCGCUGUCUGCAGCCCAAAGCGCUAGGGCUGCUCGCGGGUAUUGACGUUCAUUUAAAAUCCUGCCCUGGGGGCUUCCCUAGUGGCGCAGUGGUUGAGACUCUGCCUGCCAAUGCAGGGGACACGGGUUCGAGCCCUGGUCUGGGAAGAUCCCACAUGCCGCGGAGCAACUAGGCCCGUGAGUCACAACUACUGAGCCUGCGUGUCUGGAGCCUGUGCUCCGCAACAAGAGAGGCCGCGAUAGUGAGAGGCCCGCGCACCGCGAUGAAGAGUGGCCCCCCGCUUGCCACAACUAGAGAGAGCCCUCGCACAGAAAUGAAGACCCAACACAGCCAAAAAUAAAUAAAUAAAUAAAUAAAUAAUAAAA